UACGUAGGGGGCAAGCGUUGUCCGGAUUUAUUGGGCGUAAAGAGCGUGUAGGCGGUCAGGUAGGUCCGUUGUGAAAACUCGAGGCUCAACCUCGAGACGCCGAUGGAAACCAUCUGGCUAGAGUCCGGAAGAGGAGAGUGGAAUUCCUGGUGUAGCGGUGAAAUGCGCAGAUAUCAGGAAGAACACCCGUGGCGAAGGCGGCUCUCUGGGACGGUACUGACGCUGAGACGCGAAAGCGUGGGGAGCAAACAGG
rnacentral:rRNA from 1 species